rnacentral:lncRNA from 1 species
UUAAGCUAAUAUCUGUUUUUUUCCUAUAUAAUAUCUGUAUUCAUCAAACUUAGCACUUUUUUCCUUUUUGUCUGUCUUUGUGUCUCUCAGAGAGUGAUGGAUGAGGCCUACAAGCUCAUCGCUCUCACUUACCUCAAACAUCUCGUCCGAAGCAGCCAGAGGAAACUGAGAAAGCGCUGGAGUCCUGAUUUCGUGCUAAAAAUCGUCGAAGAUGCUGAGAGUCUUCACGACACCAUCUCAGACCUGGUGAGACCAACAUUUUGGUAUUAAUCACUGGAAACAGCAUCUUCUUAUUCAUUGUUAACAACAUUUAGCCUUUGUUGUAUCAGGCCCCUGGUGUCCAACAGUGGAACCUCAUGAUGCUGAAAAUCCCAGAGCUGCUGAAUGAUAAAGACAUUGUUGCAGUAAAGCUCACAGCUGCGAACAUGCUGAAAGAAUGUCCCACAUGGAGUGAGGAUGAGGAGUUCCUGUCUGCACUGCUGAAAUGGAAGGGUCUCUGUAAACAAAAGAUUUCAGAGGUGCUAUAUGCCCUUCCUUAGCAUGAACCCACACACAGAUCCGUAUUCCGCCACAUCUGGUCUGUGUACCAAAAGCUACGCAUGGGAUGAUUUCAGAACAAGCAUCGUUUCAGGAAAGGUUCAAAGGAAUUUUUAAAACCUUGUUUGCCAAAAUUUCUCAUUAUUCAAUUCAACAUUUACUUUUUCUUUCAUAAGGCUACUGUACUGUAUUAUGCUUAUCUUUGCAUUGAAUUACACUUUAAACACAGACUCUAUAAAUGUAGUAUUAAGUCUUUUUGCAUCUCCAGAGAAAGUUACUUGUAACUCUAUCUAAACUUUCACUCAGUGGCUACUUUGCAUUGUAAAUGUAGGUGCCAUGUUUUGAAAAUGACAAAGAAUGUGUGGCAUAAAAAAAGUGGUUUGUCUGGUUCUUCUUUAUCAGUUUUGAAUACGUUUUUUUUUAUACUGCUCAUGAGUUCAACAGGUUGGAAAGUACACGUGGACUGCCUUUUAAAAAGAAGAAAUUUAAUAAAAAUGUGAAAACUUCUUGCUAAAACAAAAAAACUUCUUUUGAAAUUCAUAAUUUGACACUGAUCCAUUUUUCUUUUUCAAGUGUGCAGCAAUAUGCCUCUGUAAUUGAAAAAUUAAAGUUUCUGUAUCCAAAAUUUCUUCAGUAAUUGAUUGAAUUAAACAUGUUUUUCAAAUCCAUAUAUGAUUUAGUUGCUGAGAUAAGGAUUUUGACAAAGUAUUACUCGAAAAGUACAGAGUAAAAGUACUUCAUAUUAUUCAUGCAAGUAGUCUAGGAAGUAUUAAGUUCAGCAGUAUUAUCAGUCUUGGACUACUUAUGGAAACAAUGUUUUUUUUUCUCUCAUGUUGUCCUUUACUUUGAAAUCCAGACGGAUACCUUCGUGAUACCUUCAGUUUAUUACCAGAAAUAAUU